rnacentral:rRNA from 1 species
UACGUAGGGACCAAGCGUUGUUCGGAUUUACUGGGCGUAAAGGGCGCGUAGGCGGCAAUUCAAGUCAGCUGUGAAAUCUCCGGGCUUAACUCGGAACGGUCAGCUGAUACUGCUUUGCUAGAGUGCAGAAGGGGCAAUCGGAAUUCUUGGUGUAGCGGUGAAAUGCGUAGAUAUCAAGAGGAACACCUGAGGUGAAGACGGGUUGCUGGGCCGACACUGACGCUGAGGCGCGAAAGCCAGGGGAGCGAACGGG